AGCGUACACGGUGGAUGCCCUGGCAGUCAGAGGCGAUGAAGGACGUGCUAAUCUGCGAAAAGCGUCGGUAAGGUGAUAUGAACCGUUACAGCCGGCGAUGUCCGAAUGGGGAAACCCAGUGCAAUUCGUUGCACUAUCGUUAACUGAAUACAUAGGUUAACGAGGCGAACCGGGGGAACUGAAACAUCUAAGUACCCCGAGGAAAAGAAAUCAACCGAGAUUCCCCCAGUAGCGGCGAGCGAACGGGGAGCAGCCCAGAGUCUGAAUCAGCUUGUGUGUUAGUGGAACGGUCUGGAAAGUCCGACGGUACAGGGUGAUAGUCCCGUACACCAAAAUGCACAGGCUGUGAACUCGAAGAGUAGGGCGGGACACGUGGUAUCCUGUCUGAAUAUGGGGGGACCAUCCUCCAAGGCUAAAUACUCCUGACUGACCGAUAGUGAACCAGUACCGUGAGGGAAAGGCGAAAAGAACCCCGGCGAGGGGAGUGAAAAAGAACCUGAAACCGUGUACGUACAAGCAGUGGGAGCACCUUCGGGUGUGACUGCGUACCUUUUGUAUAAUGGGUCAGCGACUUAUAUUCUGUAGCAAGGUUAACCGUAUAGGGGAGCCGCAGGGAAACCGAGUCUUAACUGGGCGUUAAGUUGCAGGGUAUAGACCCGAAACCCGGUGAUCUAGCCAUGGGCAGGUUGAAGGUUGGGUAACACUAACUGGAGGACCGAACCGACUAAUGUUGAAAAAUUAGCGGAUGACUUGUGGCUGGGGGUGAAAGGCCAAUCAAACCGGGAGAUAGCUGGUUCUCCCCGAAAGCUAUUUAGGUAGCGCCUCGUGAAUUCAUCUUCGGGGGUAGAGCACUGUUUCGGCUAGGGGGUCAUCCCGACUUACCAACCCGAUGCAAACUACGAAUACCGAAGAAUGUUAUCACGGGAGACACACGGCGGGUGCUAACGUCCGUCGUGAAGAGGGAAACAACCCAGACCGCCAGCUAAGGUCCCAAAGUCAUGGUUAAGUGGGAAACGAUGUGGGAAGGCACAGACAGCCAGGAUGUUGGCUUAGAAGCAGCCAUCAUUUAAAGAAAGCGUAAUAGCUCACUGGUCGAGUCGGCCUGCGCGGAAGAUGUAACGGGGCUAAACCAUGCACCGAAGCUGCGGCAGCGACNNUGCUGGAGGUAUCAGAAGUGCGAAUGCUGACAUAAGUAACGAUAAAGCGGGUGAAAAGCCCGCUCGCCGGAAGACCAAGGGUUCCUGUCCAACGUUAAUCGGGGCAGGGUGAGUCGACCCCUAAGGCGAGGCCGAAAGGCGUAGUCGAUGGGAAACAGGUUAAUAUUCCUGUACUUGGUGUUACUGCGAAGGGGGGACGGAGAAGGCUAUGUUAGCCGGGCGACGGUUGUCCCGGUUUAAGCAUGUAGGCUGGUUAUCCAGGCAAAUCCGGAUAAUCAAGGCUGAGGUGUGAUGACGAGGCACUACGGUGCUGAAGUAACAAAUGCCCUGCUUCCAGGAAAAGCCUCUAAGCAUCAGGUAACAUCAAAUCGUACCCCAAACCGACACAGGUGGUCAGGUAGAGAAUACCAAGGCGCUUGAGAGAACUCGGGUGAAGGAACUAGGCAAAAUGGUGCCGUAACUUCGGGAGAAGGCACGCUGGUGUGUAGGUGAAGUCCCUGCGGAUGGAGCUGAGACCAGUCGAAGAUACCAGCUGGCUGCAACUGUUUAUUAAAAACACAGCACUGUGCAAACACGAAAGUGGACGUAUACGGUGUGACGCCUGCCCGGUGCCGGAAGGUUAAUUGAUGGGGUUAUCCGUAAGGAGAAGCUCUUGAUCGAAGCCCCGGUAAACGGCGGCCGUAACUAUAACGGUCCUAAGGUAGCGAAAUUCCUUGUCGGGUAAGUUCCGACCUGCACGAAUGGCGUAAUGAUGGCCAGGCUGUCUCCACCCGAGACUCAGUGAAAUUGAACUCGCUGUGAAGAUGCAGUGUACCCGCGGCAAGACGGAAAGACCCCGUGAACCUUUACUAUAGCUUGACACUGAACAUUGAGCCUUGAUGUGUAGGAUAGGUGGGAGGCUUUGAAGCGUGGACGCCAGUCUGCGUGGAGCCAACCUUGAAAUACCACCCUUUAAUGUUUGAUGUUCUAACGUUGGCCCCUGACCGGGGUUGCGGACAGUGUCUGGUGGGUAGUUUGACUGGGGCGGUCUCCUCCCAAAGCGUAACGGAGGAGCACGAAGGUUAGCUAAUCCUGGUCGGACAUCAGGAGGUUAGUGCAAUGGCAUAAGCUAGCUUGACUGCGAGCGUGACGGCGCGAGCAGGUGCGAAAGCAGGUCAUAGUGAUCCGGUGGUUCUGAAUGGAAGGGCCAUCGCUCAACGGAUAAAAGGUACUCCGGGGAUAACAGGCUGAUACCGCCCAAGAGUUCAUAUCGACGGCGGUGUUUGGCACCUCGAUGUCGGCUCAUCACAUCCUGGGGCUGAAGUAGGUCCCAAGGGUAUGGCUGUUCGCCAUUUAAAGUGGUACGCGAGCUGGGUUUAGAACGUCGUGAGACAGUUCGGUCCCUAUCUGCCGUGGGCGCUGGAGAAUUGAGGGGGGCUGCUCCUAGUACGAGAGGACCGGAGUGGACGCAUCACUGGUGUUCGGGUUGUCAUGCCAAUGGCACUGCCCGGUAGCUAAAUGCGGAAGAGAUAAGUGCUGAAAGCAUCUAAGCACGAAACUUGCCCCGAGAUGAGUUCU
rnacentral:rRNA from 1 species